rnacentral:lncRNA from 1 species
CUUGUACUUUAAAGACUGCAAGCCAGACUGGUACAAAGAAGUCCUAGCUUCAGAGAAUUAAGCCCUGAGGCACAAAGGCCAGAUCUGUACUUGAAAAAGCUCCUUUGUGUUGCUACGCUGGCAAACUCUCCUAGAAGGAAUGAAGCAUAGGUAAUGCCACACAGAGGAGCAAGAGAGUUUUAAAAUAGGUAUUUGUACACCAGGACUUACAUGGAUAAAAGAGAGGCUGCAUAAAAGCUGUUUGGUCACUGAAUAACCUUGCUGCACAGGCAAAAAUUUCCGAAUGGCCAAGCAGAGGCAGGUCUGAGCAGAUCAAGUUCCAUCCAGCUCUGGGAGCCAGGCUGAGACCUCACUGUAAGGCAUGGAGAUGCUGCAGAGGACUCUCUCAACUGCAGUGUGAUGGUGACAUCUGCUCUGAUGGUGCUGACCCAGUUGCUAUUGGGAAUUUGGUGAUGCAGAGCAUAGAGGCAGCAAUGGAAUUUCACUACCCUGAGGAGGUGCUGAGCACAUUCAGAUGUCUUCAAAGACAGUGAGGUACCCAGAGCACCAUGCAUCCCCCUGCAC